UGCGUAGGCGGCUUGGUAGGUGAGAUGUGAAAGCCCACGGCUCAACCGUGGAAUUGCGUUUCAAACCCCCAAGCUCGAGGAAGAUAGGGGUGAUGGGAACUUAUGGUGGAGCGGUGAAAUGCGUUGAUAUCAUAGGGAACACCGGUGGCGAAAGCGCAUCACUGGAUCUUUUCUGACGCUGAGGCACGAAAGCUAGGGUAGCGAACAGGAUUAGAUACCCUGGUAGUCC
rnacentral:rRNA from 1 species